rnacentral:rRNA from 1 species
AGCGAACGCUGGCGGCAGGCUUAACACAUGCAAGUCGAGCGCCCCGCAAGGGGAGCGGCAGACGGGUGAGUAACGCGUGGGAACGUACCUUUUGGUUCGGAACAACACAGGGAAACUUGUGCUAAUACCGGAUAAGCCCUUACGGGGAAAGAUUUAUCGCCGAAAGAUCGGCCCGCGUCUGAUUAGCUUGUUGGUGAGGUAACGGCUCACCAAGGCGACGAUCAGUAGCUGGUCUGAGAGGAUGAUCAGCCACAUUGGGACUGAGACACGGCCCAAACUCCUACGGGAGGCAGCAGUGGGGAAUAUUGGACAAUGGGCGCAAGCCUGAUCCAGCCAUGCCGCGUGAGUGAUGAAGGCCCUAGGGUUGUAAAGCUCUUUUAACGGGGAAGAUAAUGACGGUACCCGUAGAAUAAGCCCCGGCUAACUUCGUGCCAGCCGCCGCCGUAACAC